ensembl:lncRNA
AUAGUGAAUUCUGAAAUUUUUCUCAACAGGGCAACAUUGUUCACCCAUUCUCCCUCUCUUAUCAUCCAUUUGCUAUGCUCAGUUCAUUCAAAGCAGUAGACCAUUCAAGAAAACACACCCAGGUACUGAAACGCUGGAUCAAGGAACACCGUAAACAGGAGGUCUCUCCAGUAAUAGAGAAACUGGAGUCCUCCUCCACCUCCUCUUCUAGCUCCUCAUUUAGUGAUAGCGAGGACUCCUUAAAAGAUGAAACCGCAAACUAUGAAGGCUCGCAAGAAUCUCUGCAGGACUGAAAACAGCAGCCGUAUAACAAGCAAAUAUUCAUUUUCGUUGUUUUUUUAAACACAUGUAACAUUAUUUCAGGUUUAUCCUUAUUGUUAAAACAUUAGUUCUUUCCUGAGACUUUGUUCACAACCACACUGUAAAAAAAUCAAAAUUUGAGAAAACUUUAAAGUUUAAGGCAACCAGCUUCAGCAGAUUUUUCAGAGUUUUCUCAACUUAUUUUUGUAGGAGAUUUGAGUUUUCUCAACUUUUUGUUGUAUAAAUUGAAAACAAAAAGUUUAUUUUAUAAAUACCAAUAAUACUUUUUACAGACUUUCUUAGUAUUGCUCCAAAGUAUUCAUACAUAGCGUUAUUUUAGAAAUAGAAGGUGUGAAUAAUAAGUAAUUUGCCCAUGCAUUUUCAUUUUACAUGUGAAAGAAGACUCCAUGUUAAGUUUACAAUAAUCAAUAAAAUUCUUGAACUAUUACUUUCUGAACUCUGC